GACGAACGCUGGCGGCGUGCCUAAUACAUGCAAGUAGAACGCACAGUUUAUACCGUAGCUUGCUACACCAUAAACUGUGAGUUGCGAACGGGUGAGUAACGCGUAGGUAACCUGCCUGGUAGCGGGGGAUAACUAUUGGAAACGAUAGCUAAUACCGCAUAAUAUUGAUUAUUGCAUGAUAAUUGAUUGAAAGGUGCUAUUGCAUCACUACCAGAUGGACCUGCGUUGUAUUAGCUAGUAGGUGAGGUAACGGCUCACCUAGGCGACGAUACAUAGCCGACCUGAGAGGGUGAUCGGCCACACUGGGACUGAGACACGGCCCAGACUCCUACGGGAGGCAGCAGUAGGGAAUCUUCGGCAAUGGACGAAAGUCUGACCGAGCAACGCCGCGUGAGUGAAGAAGGUUUUCGGAUCGUAAAGCUCUGUUGUAAGAGAAGAACGGGUGUGAGAGUGGAAAGUUCACACUGUGACGGUAUCUUACCAGAAAGGGACGGCUAACUACGUG
rnacentral:rRNA from 1 species